UACGUAGGAGGCAAGCGUUGUCCGGAAUUACUGGGUGUAAAGCGCGUGUAGGCGGCAGGCCAAGUCUGUGGUGAAAUCGCUCGGCUCAACUGGGCGGGGUCCAUGGAAACUGGUCAGCUGGAGGACGGUAGAGGUGAGUGGAAUUCCCGGUGUAGUGGUGAAAUGCGUAGAGAUCGGGAGGAACACCCGUGGCGAAGGCGGCUCACUGGGCCGGUCCUGACGCUGAUGCGCGAAAGCGUGGGGAGCAAACGGG
rnacentral:rRNA from 1 species